rnacentral:rRNA from 1 species
UAGUUUUUUUAGAAAUAAAUUUAAUUUACAAAUUUUUAAUUUUUUGGUUAUUUAUUUAAUUAAAAAAUUUAUUUAUUUGAAUAUCUUAAGGGAUAAGCUUUGAGAUAAAUCUUUAAAAAUUAAUAAUGGUGAUAUAGAAUGUAUGCUUAGAAUUAGCAAUCGUUAUAAAGUUUGUUAUAAAUUAUUUUAUGAAUUAUAUUAUUUAUUAUAUUUUGAUUUAUUUAUAAAAAUUUUUUUAUUAAUAAAGUAUAAGAAGGAAUGAUGAUGGAAUUAGUAUAUUUUUAUUGUUUAUGUAAUUUUAUAUGAUAAGUUUAUAUAAAGAACUCGGCAAAAAUUUUACCCGCCUGUUUAACAAAAACAUGUCUUUUUGAGUUAUUUUUAAAGUCUGACCUGCCCACUGAAAUUAUUUAAAUGGCCGCAGUAUUCUAACUGUGCAAAGGUAGCAUAAUCAUUAGUCUUUUAAUUGAAG